AGAGUUUGAUCCUGGCUCAGGACGAACGCUGGCGGCGCGCCUAACACAUGCAAGUCGAACGAGCGAGAGAGAGCUUGCUUUCUCGAGCGAGUGGCGAACGGGUGAGUAACGCGUGAGGAACCUGCCUCAAAGAGGGGGACAACAGUUGGAAACGACUGCUAAUACCGCAUAAGCCCACGACCCGGCAUCGGGUAGAGGGAAAAGGAGCAAUCCGCUUUGAGAUGGCCUCGCGUCCGAUUAGCUAGUUGGUGAGGUAACGGCCCACCAAGGCGACGAUCGGUAGCCGGACUGAGAGGUUGAACGGCCACAUUGGGACUGAGACACGGCCCAGACUCCUACGGGAGGCAGCAGUGGGGAAUAUUGCACAAUGGGGGAAACCCUGAUGCAGCGACGCCGCGUGGAGGAAGAAGGUCUUCGGAUUGUAAACUCCUGUUGUUGAGGAAGAUAAUGACGGUACUCAACAAGGAAGUGACGGCUAACUACGUGCCAGCAGCCGCGGUAAAACGUAGGUCACAAGCGUUGUCCGGAAUUACUGGGUGUAAAGGGAGCGCAGGCGGGAAGACAAGUUGGAAGUGAAAUCUAUGGGCUCAACCCAUAAACUGCUUUCAAAACUGUUUUUCUUGAGUAGUGCAGAGGUAGGCGGAAUUCCCGGUGUAGCGGUGGAAUGCGUAGAUAUCGGGAGGAACACCAGUGGCGAAGGCGGCCUACUGGGCACCAACUGACGCUGAGGCUCGAAAGCAUGGGUAGCAAACAGGAUUAGAUACCCUGGUAGUCCAUGCCGUAAACGAUGAUUACUAGGUGUUGGAGGAUUGACCCCUUCAGUGCCGCAGUUAACACAAUAAGUAAUCCACCUGGGGAGUACGACCGCAAGGUUGAAACUCAAAGGAAUUGACGGGGGCCCGCACAAGCAGUGGAGUAU
rnacentral:rRNA from 1 species